rnacentral:rRNA from 1 species
UACGGAGGAUCCAAGCGUUAUCCGGAUUUAUUGGGUUUAAAGGGUGCGUAGGCGGUAAAGUAAGUCAGUGGUGAAAGUUUGCAGCUUAACUGUAAAAUUGCCAUUGAUACUGCAUUGCUUGAGUCCAGAUGAGGUGGGCGGAAUGUGUCAUGUAGCGGUGAAAUGCAUAGAUAUGACACAGAACACCGAUUGCGAAGGCAGCUCACUAAACUGGCACUGACGCUGAGGCACGAAAGCGUGGGGAUCAAACAGG